UGCAGCUUGAAUUCGUUAAAAGCUCCUGGAAUUUGAUCGGCUGGAAGAAAUGCCAAUGCAAAUGCAUUUUGGUACUGAAACUUUUAUCAUGCCAUAUUGCAUGACCAAUCCACAAGUGUAACUUUCUGCCAAAUGCAAAUAAAGACAAUCACAAGAAUUACAUAAUUGGAGGUAGGAUUUAAGAUUAUUUGGGAACACUGAAUAGGCAAGACUGGAAGUAUGAAGACCAAAUGAAAAAUUCUCACAGUAGUACAGAAGAGGAACAGUUACAAAUUGGGAUGGAUGGUGCCCAGCACAGCACUGAACCCUGCAAAAGUACUUAGACUAUGUUAACUCCUGACAUGGUGAAGAAAAGAGAAGAAACCAACUUAAGUGCAAGGAAAGGUAGGGUGCUUGGAGAAAAAAGUGUCUUGCCCUAUGCAAAUGGGUUCUUCAGCAAGAGAAAGAAAACUCUGAAUUGUUACAUGCUCCAUGCUCCUAACAAUAGACAGAUACCACAGUGUUCUCAUUUACACUCCUGAUGACUAAGCCAAAAAUGCUCACUCUAUUCAGUAAUAUUUAUGUGGUUUGCAACAAUACCCAUAACAUUGUAUAUAAAGAAGAGAUAGGAGCUAGGACAACCAGGAAAGGAGGGAAGGGGAGGAGAUGUGGGGGAGGGGAAGAGAGGGAGGGAAAGAAACA